UAUUUACCGAACUAUUUGACACGGUCGCGUCAACUGUGUUUACGAGUGUCUUGUGUUCAGAUUGUUUUAAGUGAUAAUUUAACAAUAUUUUUCCAAAUAAAUGGAAAGAAACUUUUAUUUAUAUCAAAUAAUUGAGUGUCUCGACUGUGUGACAUUAUGUCUUGUGUGGUAUGGGGCUGCAGCUCACAUUCAGGAAGAAAAGAAAAUAGCCAACAACUUCUGUCGUUUCAUCGAUAUUAAAUCCAAAAGUGUCGACUGGAUUUACAUGAAAAGUCAGUUCAAGAAGACGAGAUGAAAAAUUUAAAAGAAAAGCUGAACAAGUCCCGCCUCAAGAUCAAACGACUUAAUGAAAAAAAAAAAACAAUGUGACAGGGUGUCACAAAGACAGUUUCUAAGCAAAUUGACACUGUUUAGAAAUUAAUAAAUGAC